GACCAGCACCCCGAGUGGUCGGGACGAUUAUUGGGCCUAAAGCAUCCGUAGCCGGUCAUGCAAGUCUUCCGUUAAAUCCAGCCGCUCAACGGUUGGGCUGCGGAGGAUACUACGUGGCUAGGAGGCGGGAGAGGCAAGCGGUACUCAGUGGGUAGGGGUAAAAUCCUUUGAUCCAUUGAAGACCACCAGUGGCGAAGGCGGCUUGCCAGAACGCGCUCGACGGUGAGGGAUGAAAGCUGGGGGAGCAAACCGG
rnacentral:rRNA from 1 species